CUAACUACGUGCCAGCAGCCGCGGUAAUACGUAGGUGGCGAGCGUUAUCCGGAAUCAUUGGGCGUAAAGGGUGCGUAGGCGGCGAGUUAAGUCUGAGGUAAAAGGUUGCAGCUCAACUGUAACAAGCCUUGGAAACUGACUGGCUAGAGUGCAGGAGAGGGCAGUGGAAUUCCAUGUGUAGCGGUAAAAUGCGUAGAUAUAUGGAGGAACACCAGUGGCGAAGGCGGCUGUCUGGCCUGUAACUGACGCUGAGGCACGAAAGCGUGGGGAGCAAAUAGGAUUAGAUACCCUAGUAGUCCACGCCGUAAACGAUGAGAACUAAGUGUUGGGGAAACUCAGUGCUGCAGUUAACGCAAUAAGUUCUCCGCCUGGGGAGUAUGCACGCAAGUGUGAAACUCAAAGGAAUUGACGGGGGCCCGCACAAGCGGUGGAGUAUGUGGUUUAAUUCGAAGCAACGCGAAGAACCUUACCAGGGCUUGACAUCCUACUAACGAAGCAGAGAUGCAUUAGGUGCCCUUCGGGGAAAGUAGAGACAGGUGGUGCAUGGUUGUCGUCAGCUCGUGUCGUGAGAUGUUGGGUUAAGUCCCGCAACGAGCGCAACCCUUGUUUUAUGUUACCAAUAUUAAGUUAGGGACUCAUAAGAGACUGCCGGUGACAAACCGGAGGAAGGUGGGGAUGACGUCAAAUCAUCAUGCCCCUUAUGGCUUGGGCUACACACGUACUACAAUGGCAGUUACAAAGGGCAGCGACCUAGUGAUAGGGAGCGAAACUCGGAAAGGCUGUCUCAGUUCGGAUUGAAGUCUGCAACUCGACUUCAUGAAGUCGGAAUCGCUAGUAAUCGCGAAUCAGCAUGUCGCGGUGAAUACGUUCUCGGGCCUUGUACACACCGCCCGUCAAACCAUGGGAGUUGGCAAUACCCGAAGCCGGUGGCAUAACCGAAAGGAGUGAGCCGUCGAAGGUAGGGCCGAUGACUGGGGUUAAGUCGUAACAAGGUAUCCCUACGGGAACGUGGGGAUG
rnacentral:rRNA from 1 species